UACAGAGGUCUCAAGCGUUGUUCGGAUUCAUUGGGCGUAAAGGGUGCGUAGGCGGCGCGGUAAGUCGGGUGUGAAGUCUCGGAGCUUAACUCCGAAACUGCAUUUGAUACUGGCGUGCUUGAGGACUGGAGAGGAGACUGGAAUUCAUGGUGUAGCAGUGAAAUGCGUAGAGAUCAUGAGGAAGACCAGUGGCGAAGGCGGGUCUCUGGACAGUUCCUGACACUGAGGCACGAAGGCCAGGGGAGCAAACGGG
rnacentral:rRNA from 1 species